rnacentral:rRNA from 1 species
AUACGUAGGGGGCGAGCGUUGUCCGGAAUGACUGGGCGUAAAGGGCGUGUAGGCGGUUGUCUAAGUCUGGAGUGAAAGUCCUGCUUUCAAGGUGGGAAUAGCUUUGGAUACUGGAUGACUUGAGUGCGGAAGAGGGAAGUGGAAUUCCCAGUGUAGCGGUGAAAUGCGUAGAGAUUGGGAGGAACACCAGUGGCGAAGGCGACUUACUGGGCCGUAACUGACGCUGAGGCGCGAAAGCGUGGGGAGCAAACAGGAUUAGAUACCCUGGUAGUCCACGCCGUAAACGAUGAGUGCUAAGUGUUGGAGGGUUUCCGCCCUUCAGUGCUGCAGCUAACGCAUUAAGCACUCCGCCUGGGGAGUACGGCCGCAAGGCUGAAACUCAAAGGAAUUGACGGGG